rnacentral:rRNA from 1 species
UACGUAGGCAGCGAGCGUUGUUCGGAGUUACUGGGCGUAAAGCGUGCGUAGGCGGUGGCCUAAGUCUGUUGUGAAAAUCUCCCGGCUUAACCGGGAGGGUGCGGCGGAAACUGGGUUGCUGGAGUGCGGGAGAGGUAAGCGGAAUUCCCGGUGUAGCGGUGAAAUGCGUAGAUAUCGGGGAGGAACACCUGCGGUGUAGACGGCUUACUGGACCGUAACUGACGCUGAGGCACGAAAGCGUGGGGAGCAAACAGG